GCCUGGUCUACCUGCUCCACUCUUCUCUGCCCAUCCCCACAAUGCACGUGUUAUAGCGUCUGCCUUGGCGUGUCUUGAUAGUGAAAGGGCUACAUUCCCUGAACAGUAGAGGAUGUGGGCAGGUCUCUGGAAUACCAGGGAUUCUUACUGUUUUACUAGGGCUUUGCAGGGAGAAGGAGUUCAGAGACUCCGGGAGACAGCCUCCAGCCACUGAUGUUUCAGAGAAGCUGCAGAGUGAGCUCCACUCUCUGGGAAGUCCAGUGCCUCUCUUAAGCAUGGGCAGCCAAGAGAGGAGGCCGUGGAGGAAAAGGAGUGCUUUCUACAAAAGUGGUAAGUUUGGAGAUUUCAGUUGAGAGAAUUCAUCCCUGGCUUGUUUCAUAGAAGACCAAGUCCUGUGUUUGGGAUCAGCAACACCCUCUCUCAUAACUGCAGCCACAGGGGACAGGGAAACCCGUAGGAUGAACUGGAGGCUCUGCAGGCUUUUGGACCCAAGCCCAACAUGCCAUCAUUCAAUUAUGGG